AUAACAUCUAAUACUUUUAGGAGAUUUGGAAGCUAAGGUGAUGAAAUGUUGAUUGAUAUUCCCUGUCAUAUAUAGGAAGAUAUUGGGACCUCUGACGUGGAGAUACGAAUGGAAGAGGGGACUUUGUGCAUACAAACUGAACAUGUCUCUCAGACAAGUGAAAGUGCUGUUGUGCAACAAUCAAAAGCUAUAAUGCCAUUGGAUGCACAAGCACACACACUAAAAGACUAUAACACUAUUGUGCGAGAGUUGGAAGUUAUGAGUGGAAAGUUGAAAUCUUCAAGAGAGGCAUUGAAAAUUUGCAAAAGGAAGAA